UAGACAAAAAAAUGUGGGGGGAAAAGACAUAUAAUUUUUACAUUUAUAGAAGGAAUACAUUUUUUUCUCUGCAUGUAGUAAUUAGUGGUGCAAAUGGUCAGUAAGCAAUACUUCCCUACCUUAAUAGAAUAAAAUCUUUGGUUAAUUAGGAGAUUUAAACACAUAAUGAAUAUGUGAACUCUGCCAACUGUUCUAAUAGAGGCCGUCAGCUCAUUUAUAUUGUUAAUUGAACAAUUAGUAUUGCUGAAUUGCAAACCCACAGGAGACAGGAGGGCAGAACACGUUCCUGAGACACUGCGUUGCUCUGCUGGCACCAGAUAUCUGUGACCACAGGUGACUCCAUUGCCCUCCAGAGCCCUUCAACAACAUGGGUGGAUUUCAACCAUUAGGGAGAGAAAUUUAAAUGUGCAAAUAUUUGCAUUUUCCUAGACUGAUCAUAGUCCACCUCUUCAGAAAUAUCUCAGCACAUGAAGACUGACAGGUAGGAAAGGAUGACUGAAAGGAAGUUUCCUGCAAAAAACACUCUAACAUGCUCUUCAAAAUAGCCUGGAUUUGGACUUACUGCAGCAAAACCCUGAUCCGAGCCUCUUCUGGGAGCAUGUCUGAGGCAGAGAGAAAAACAAGACCCAGGAAUACUCCAGGCUAUCAGCACCAG